AGUGAACGCUGGCGGUAGGCCUAACACAUGCAAGUCGAACGGCAGCACAGUAAGAGCUUGCUCUUACGGGUGGCGAGUGGCGGACGGGUGAGGAAUACAUCGGAAUCUACUUUUUCGUGGGGGAUAACGUAGGGAAACUUACGCUAAUACCGCAUACGACCUACGGGUGAAAGCAGGGGAUCUUCGGACCUUGCGCGAUUGAAUGAGCCGAUGUCGGAUUAGCUGGUUGGCGGGGUAAAGGCCCACCAAGGCGACGAUCCGUAGCUGGUCUGAGAGGAUGAUCAGCCACACUGGAACUGAGACACGGUCCAGACUCCUACGGGAGGCAGCAGUGGGGAAUAUUGGACAAUGGGCGCAAGCCUGAUCCAGCCAUACCGCGUGGGUGAAGAAGGCCUUCGGGUUGUAAAGCCCUUUUGUUUGGAAAGAAAAGCAGCAGGUUAAUACCCCGCUGUUCUGACGGUACCCAAAGAAUAAGCACCGGCUAACUUCGUG
rnacentral:rRNA from 1 species